ACUCCUACGGGAGGCAGCAGUGGGGAAUAUUGCACAAUGGGCGCAAGCCUGAUGCAGCCAUGCCGCGUGUAUGAAGAAGGCCUUCGGGUUGUAAAGUACUUUCAGCAGUGAGGAAGGUGGAUAUGUUAAUAGCAUAUUCUAUUUGUACGUUAGCUGCAGAAGAAGCACCGGCUAACUCCGUGCCAGCAGCCGCGGUAAUACGGAGGGUGCGAGCGUUAAUCGGAAUUACGUGGGCGUAAAGCGCAUGCAGGUGGUUUGUUAAGUCAGAUGUGAAAGCCCGGGGCUCAACCUCGGAAUUGCAUUUGAAACUGGCAAACUAGAGUACUGUAGAGGGGUAGAAUUUCGAGUGUAGCGGUGAAAUGCGUAGAGAUCUGAAGGAAUACCGGUGGCGAACGGCGGCCCCCGUGGACAGAUACUGACACUCAGAUGCGAAAGCGUGGGAGCAAACAGGAUUAG
rnacentral:rRNA from 1 species